UCAGGAUGACAGAGUGAAGUCAAAGGAACAAUAAUAUUGUGUUAAUCUCCUUUCCAUGGCUGAAACUCUAUCAGCAUAUAACAAUAACCCUUUGCUAUUCUUUCUCUGAUACUUUUCCUCCCGCAUUGAAAUCCCAGAAGAAAAAAAGCAAGUUGAACCUCUUUAAGAGAAACAGUGUUGGCUUCUUGUUAGAAAUAGUGUUUCUUCUUCUACUUUUAGAAUUUGGGUUUGCGAUGACUGCUGCCUAGCUGGAGCUAUCAGGAUUUUCUCGGAAAAUGGAAUGAGAAAGAUGAUGGAGAGAAAGGUCGAAAACAAUGAAGAUAUUCAAAACUACUUCAAUGGAACCACAUAUUUCAGUUUCAAGCGAAGAACCGACGAAGGGUUCGAAGAGUUCCCAGUUGCCCAGACCCUCUUCACAACUAGUAGACAAUUAUUUUAACCUAGAUCUCCUCCAUUUUCUUCUGAAUCUUGUCGAUUGAUUCGUAUCCAAAAACCCACGUUUUCCCGCAUCAUGACCUUGCUGGUGUUUUGGUGGAAAAAACGAUGGUAUUUUGGAAUUUCUUUAUGUACUUCCUUUUGGAUCCUUUUUCUCUAGAAACAAACAUGUUUUUCUCUGCA